rnacentral:rRNA from 1 species
GGCGUAAAGGGCGCGUAGGCGGGUUGUCAAGUUCUGAGUGAAAUCCAACGGCUCAACCGUUGAACUGCUCGGAAAACUGGCAGCCUAGAGUGAGGGAGAGGUAGAUGGAAUUGG